rnacentral:sRNA from 1 species
UGACAGCGGCAGGCCACAUAGGCAAGGAAGCUGGUGCAUGCAGUGUCUCUGGGCAAGGUUAUGCAACCUUCGUCUCCUCGUCCUCCAGGCAGCACAAGCCAUUGUGGAAUCUCCACCGGGUGUACAGAACGGUGCCUCUGCGUCCUGCCACUCAGGACCUCUCAAGUCCCCGAUGUGAUGGCUCCUCAGCAUGAUCAGGAGAAAUUCCAUGAUCUUGCUUAUUCCUGUCUUGGGAAGUCCUUCUCCAUGUCUAACCAAGAUCUAUAUGGCUAUAGCACCGCUCUUUGGCUCUUGGCUUGGCAUGGCUAAGUUGGGAGACCAAAAAGAAGAAUGUACUUCAUCUGGUUGGGCUGGAUUCCCUCUGAUAAGCCUUCCCAGUUGACUGAAAGAUGAGGCUAGGCUCUAGCAAGU